rnacentral:misc_RNA from 1 species
UGGUGGAUACCAGUCUCGUGCUAUG